rnacentral:rRNA from 1 species
GGAGCCGUAGCGAAAGCGAGUUUUAACUGAGCGUUCAGUUACUUGACGUAGACCCGAAACCGGGCGACCUACCCAUGAGCAGGAUGAAGCGAAAGUAAAAUUUCGUGGAGGUCCGAACCCACGAGCGUUGAAAAGCUCGGGGAUGACUUGUGGGUAGCGGUGAAAUUCCAAUCGAGCCCGGAGAUAGCUGGUUCUCCCCGAAAUAGCUUUAGGGCUAGCCUCAAGGUGAGAGAUACGGAGGUAGAGCACUGAAUGUCCUAGGGGGUAUUGCACCUACCGAAGACUAUCAAACUCCGAAUGCCGUCAUCUUAUACUUGGGAGUCAGACUGUGGGUGAUAAGAUUCAUAGUCGAAAGGGCAACAGCCCAGAUCGUCAGCUAAGGUCCCUAAAUGUAAGUUAAGUGGUAAAGGAUGUGGGAUUGCACAGACAACCAGGAUGUUGGCUUAGAAGCAGCCACUCAUUCAAAGAGUGCGUAAUAGCUCACUGGUCGAGUGAUCCUGCGCCGAAGAUUUCCGGGGCUAAAACUUACUACCGAAGCUACGGCAUCAGUAAUGAUGGGUAGGGGAGCUUCCCAUACGGGUUGAAGCAUGACCGUAAGGACAUGUGGACAGUAUGGGAGUGAGAAUGUUGGCAUGAGUAGCGAGAUGUGGGUGAGAAUCCCACAGGCCGUAAACCCAAGGUUUCCAGGGGAAGGUUCGUCCGCCCUGGGUUAGUCGGGACCUAAGCUGAGGCCGAAAGGCGUAGGUGAUGGACAACAGGUUGAUAUUCCUGUACUACCGAUAACCGUUUGAGAGAAGGGAUGACACAGUAGGAUAAGCUAAGCACACUGUUGGUUAUGUGUGCCCAAGCAUUGAGGCAGUCAAAGUAGGCAAAUCCGCUUUGAUAAUGCUGGGAUGUGAUGGGGAGCGAAAUUUAGUAGCGAAGUAGCUGAUUUCACACUGUCAAGAAAAGUCUCUAUCGAGGUUAAAGGUACCCGUACCGCAAACCGACACAGGUGGGUGAGGAGAGUAUCCUAAGGCCAGCGAGAGAACUGUUGUUAAGGAACUCGGCAAAAUGACCCCGUAACUUAGGGAUAAGGGGUGCCACCAUCAGGUGGCCGCAGAGAAUAGGCCCAAGCGACUGUUUACCAAAAACAUAGGUUUCUGCUAAGUCGCAAGACGAUGUAUAGGAGCUGACGCCUGCCCGGUGCUGGAAGGUUAAGGGGAUCUGUUAGAGCAAUCGAAGCAGUGAACUUAAGCCCCAGUAAACGGCGGCCGUAACUAUAACGGUCCUAAGGUAGCGAAAUUCCUUGUCGGGUAAGUUCCGACCCGCACGAAAGGCGUAACGAUUUGGGCACUGUCUCAACAACAGACUCGGUGAAAUUGUAAUUCCGGUGAAGAUGCCGGAUACCUGCGACAGGACGGAAAGACCCCAUGGAGCUUUACUGUAGCUUGACAUUGGGUCUUGGUACUACAUGUACAGGAUAGGUGGGAGGCUUUGAAACCAGGACGCCAGUUUUGGCGGAGCCAUCCUUGGGAUACCACCCUUGUAGUACUGGGACUCUAACCAUAGGCCAUGAAUCUGGUCUUGGGACACUGUCAGGUGGGCAGUUUGACUGGGGCGGUCGCCUCCCAAAAGGUAACGGAGGCGCUCAAAGGUUCUCUCAGUACGGUCGGAAAUCGUACGUAGAGUGUAAAGGCAAAAGAGAGCUUGAUUGCAAGACAUACAGGUCGAGCAAGGAUGAAAAUCGGACUUAGUGAUCCGGUGGUUCUGCGUGGAAGGGCCAUCGCUCAACGGAUAAAAGCUACCCUGGGGAUAACAGGCUUAUCUCCCCCAAGAGUCCACAUCGACGGGGAGGUUUGGCACCUCGAUGUCGGCUCAUCACAUCCUGGGGCUGUAGUAGGUCCCAAGGGUUGGGCUGUUCGCCCAUUAAAGUGGUACGCGAGCUGGGUUCAGAACGUCGUGAGACAGUUCGGUCCCUAUCCGUCGCAGGCGUAGGAAAUUUGAGAAGACCUGUCCUUAGUACGAGAGGACCGGGAUGGACGUACCUCUGGUGUACCAGUUGUCCUGCCAAGGGCAUGGCUGGGUAGCUAUGUACGGAAUGGAUAAGCGCUGAAAGCAUCUAAGCGCGAAGCCAACUUCAAGAUAAGAUUUCCCACCGCAAGGGUAAGACCCCAGAAAGACUAUCUGGUUGAUAGGUCGAAGGUGUAAGUGCAGCAAUGUAUUUAGCUUAUCGA